AGAGGGGUUGCUUGCUGCGUAACCAUAGCAACUCUGCAGCCUCAGGGCACCCGGGUGCUCACACCCAUUCCCCCUAGAAUACCCAGAGAAGGGCGAUCUCUGCCUUGACUCAGACUGGGAAAGUGAGGUUCAUGGACACCUGUCACUUCCUUCUGCCUACUCUGGGUUACAGUCUUGGAAUAAAAACCCACACUUGCAGCAAGAGCCACAAGCUCUAGUCACCUUGUGUGUCUGCCCCAGCCCAGGCCUGGCAAGGUGGCAGGAAAGGCACCAGACCUGGGGGAAGAGCAUGUUCAAAGGCUCCAAGAACAAGGCUAUGACCCAAGACUGACUCAGAGUGACAAUGACAUGAAAAUCAAGGUGCUGGAGAGCAGAGAUACUCUGCAGUUAACAGUAUGCAAGGCUCUUACAGAGACUCUGAGUUCAGAGUCCCAGCACUCUUGCUGGGCUGCUCACAACUGCCUGAGACUGGAGCUCUGGCCUUUACAUACCUGCCUCACAGACUGUAAAAAUAAAGUCAACUGAGG